GUCGGCGUAGCUUAAUCGGUUAAAGCAGAGAAGUCCAUUCUUGCGGUAGCUCCGCUUACGGUUCUAGUCCGUACUGAUUUAGGUUCGAGUCCUAACGCCGGCU
rnacentral:tRNA from 1 species